rnacentral:misc_RNA from 1 species
UUAAGUUCAGCGGGUAUCCCCGCCUGAUCCGAGGCCAAACUUCGGUUGUGUGUUUGCGACGCCAGGUGGUUAAACCCCACGUCUAGACGGCCGUCCACCGAGUGACCCCACAGAGCGAUUGACUUGCGUCUUGCUACGCUCGUGGUCCGGCGGCGGCGCCCACGCGUUCCAGACCUGUCCUUUCACAGACAGCGUCCAAC